rnacentral:rRNA from 1 species
GUAUAUAUAUAUAUAUAUGUUGAAAACACGACAUCCCGUCCGAUCUGUCAAGUUAAGCAACGUUGGGCUUGGUACUAGGAAUAUAUAUAUAUAUAUACC